GUGGGAGCGAGCCUGCUCGCGAAAGCAAUUUUGCAGGCGACAUUUUUGCUGAAUGUUGAUCCGCAUUCGCGAGCAGGCUCGCUCCCAC
rnacentral:antisense_RNA from 1 species